GUCGAAUGCUUGCCUAGCAUGCGUGAGGCACUGGGUUCGAUCCUCAGCACCACAUAAAAAUAAUAAGAUAUUGUGUCUAUCUACAACUAAAAAAAAAUAAAAAAUAAAUGGUAGGUCUUUUUCUUUUUCCUAAUCUCCUCUACAUUAAUUAUGAUGUCAGCUUUUAUUCUUAAAUUUUGGUACCUAUAUUUCCUUUGGAAAUCAUCCAUUUUCUCUAGAUCAUUACUUCUCAAAUAUUAGUGUGCAUAUGCCUCACCUGCAGGAUAUUGUGAAAAUGCCCCUUUCUGAUUCAGUGGGUGUAUUAGUCAGCCUUCUAUCACUAUAACAAAUACCUGAGACAAUCAACUUAUAAAGAGAAAAGGUUUAUUUUUUUUGGUUCACAAUUUUGGAAGUUCUAGUCCAUUAUUGUUUCGCCCUGUUGCUUUUAGGCCUGUGGCAAAGCAGCUAUCAUAGUGGGAGGUGUUGUGGAGCAAAUCCAUUUAUUUCAUGGCCAGGGAGCAGAAGAGGAAGGCACCAAGGCUUCAUUAUCCCCUUAAGGUGAUGCCUGUAAUGACCUCCUAGUCAUCUUAAGACUUCUUAAUAGGCCCCACCUCCUAAAGUUUCCACCACCUCAAUAUCACCAUGCUGGGUACCAAGCCUUUAACAACAUGGACCUUUGGGGGCCACUUAUUCAGUGGGUCUGGAGUAGGGCCUGUGAUUCUGCAUUUCUUGCAAGCUCCCUGAUGAUGCUGAUACUGCUGGUCAGUCAACCACAUGGUCCAAGCUUUCUUAAGAAUUCAGUGGUUUUUGAUUUCUGUUGAACAUCAUAAUCACAUAGGGCAGUUUUGAACUUCUCAGUGCCCAGGCCACACCCCAGACCAAUUAAAUUAGAAUCUCUGGAGACAGGUCUUAGAGGUGAGUAAUUUUUCAAGCUUCUCAGAUGAUAACUAAGGGUAGCCAAGAUUGAGAAUUAUAGUUUAUUGUCUUAGAGAUGAACAUAAUAGUCUCUAUUAUUUUCUUUUUCUCUUGCAUUUCUGGUUAUAUUUCCCUUUCUCAUAAGUAUGUUUUGUUUUCUCUCAUUUUUUUUAAACAGGCUUUCAGAGGUUUAGCUAUUUUAUAGUAUUAUCAAAGAAACUGCUUUUAGUUUUGUUCUUU
rnacentral:lncRNA from 1 species